UAGAACUGGGAUUUGGAUUCCACCUAUUAUUGCAGCACUGCCAUUCUCUCCAAACAUACACAGCAUAUGGUUUCCAUGGUGCAGAGACCAGAGAGUUCCAAUAAGUCUGAAUGCAAGAGAUAAAGUUUUCUCUGUUUGCUCUGUGACGUCUCAAGUUGAUUUAUAUGAUGACAAGUUGGCAUCAGCCAAAACUCAGACCUUAAAAUGAAUGACCAAAUUUGGGAUUGCCUUAGACCCACAAUGGAAAACACCUUCCUUCACUGUCAAGCUGUUAUCCUCGUUCAGAAGAGCUUUAGAUGGAAGCACAAGCAUCUGAGGAUGCCAGAAGUUUACAUGGCUUCAGAAGGAAUUAGAUAAAUCCACAGAAGAAGAAUCCAUUGAGUGACUGGACCAAAAAAAACCACAACUACUUGUUCGUCUAGCUUUUAUUUGGGUUAUAUUAUGAAAGUUUUACAAAGUGAUUCACAGUAAAUUGAAUGCAUCCAUAAUAAAUUAUAGCUGCAUUUUC